UACGUAGGGUGCGAGCGUUGUCCGGAAUUAUUGGGCGUAAAGAGCUCGUAGGCGGUGUGUCGCGUCGGCCGUGAAAACCUGGGGCUUAACUCUGGGCGUGCGGUCGAUACGGGCAUCACUGGAGUUCGGCAGGGGAGACUGGAAUUCCUGGUGUAGCGGUGAAAUGCGCAGAUAUCAGGAGGAACACCGGUGGCGAAGGCGGUUCUCUGGGCCUGUGACUGACGCUGAGGAACGAAAGCGUGGGGAGCGAACAGG
rnacentral:rRNA from 1 species